UCAGUAACGGCGAGUGAAGCGGUAACAGCUCAAAUUUGAAAUCUGGCCUCACGGUCCGAGUUGUAAUUUGUAGAGGAUGCUUCGAGCAUGGUCUGGCCUAAGUUCCUUGGAACAGGACGUCAUAGAGGGUGAGAAUCCCGUAUGCGGCCAGGUGCCUACGCUCAUGUGAAGCUCCUUCGACGAGUCGAGUUGUUUGGGAAUGCAGCUCAAAAUGGGUGGUAAAUUUCAUCUAAAGCUAAAUAUUGGCCAGAGACCGAUAGCGCACAAGUAGAGUGAUCGAAAGAUGAAAAGCACUUUGGAAAGAGAGUUAAACAGUACGUGAAAUUGUUGAAAGGGAAGCGCUUGCAACCAGACUUGCGCGCGGCCGAUCAUCCGGUGUUCUCACCGGUGCACUCGGCCGUGCUCAGGCCAGCAUCGGUUUUGGCGGCUGGAUAAAGGCCCUAGGAAUGUAGCUCCUCUCGGGGAGUGUUAUAGCCUAGGGUGCAAUGCAGCCUGCUGGGACCGAGGACCGCGCUUCGGCUAGGAUGCUGGCGUAAUGGUUGUAAGCGGCCCGUCUUGAAACACGGACCAAGGAGUCUAACAUCUAUGCGAGUGUUUGGGUGUCAAACCCAUACGCGUAAUGAAAGUGAACGGAGGUGAGAACCCUUAAGGGUGCAUCAUCGACCGGUCCUGAAGUUUACGGAAGGAUCUGAGUAAGAGCAUAGCUGUUGGGACCCGAA
rnacentral:rRNA from 1 species